UGCGUAGGCGGUUUGUUAAGUCUGUCGUGAAAUCCCCGGGCUCAACCUGGGAAUGGCGAUGGAUACUGGCAAGCUAGAGUGUGUCAGAGGAUGGUGGAAUUUCCGGUGUAGCGGUGAAAUGCGUAGAGAUCGGAAGGAACAUCAGUGGCGAAGGCGGGCCAUCUGGGACAACACUGACGCUGAAGCACGAAAGCGUGGGGAGCAAACA
rnacentral:rRNA from 1 species